rfam:Homo sapiens chromosome 1, GRCh38 reference primary assembly.
GUCUCUGUGGCACAAUCGGUUAGAGCGUUCGGCUGUUAAUCUAAAGGUUGGUGGCUAGAACCCACUGAGGGACG